CCUGCGCUUAUCUUUCCCUCGUCUCCCCCUCCACUGCUUUGCUAGCUCGUCCUUCCACGGACAGCAGUGCCACGACGUAUCUAGGGCAAUCAAUCCAUGGAGGUGGUGGGCGGCGUGUCGCUGCGGCCGUCACCGGCGCCCGCGUCCGCGCGGCUCCGGCGACCCGGGGAGGCCGGCGCGGGCUUCCCGCGGCCACGGAGGCUUCAUGCCGCGAGGCUGGUGGUGGAGGCCCGCGGCGGCAGGGGCUGGUCGGACCGGCAGUCGCAGCAGCAGCGGCGCAUGCCGCAGCUCCCCAAGAUCGAGGACGACGGCAACCCGCGCUUCGUCAUCUUCAUCCGCACCGCCAAUGUCUACUUCUGGUACCCGCUCAACAUCGUCACCGGCGGCACCACCGCCAAGAUCAUGCUGGCGGCCAAGGACAACUUCCUCGGCAAGUACAUCUACAAGGACACGCUCGCCAGGAACCUCGCCACCGUCAUCUACAAAGAUGAGGAUGACAUAAUAGACACGGCGAAAGAGCAGUUCCGCGUGCUCAAGAGCGAAAACGAGUUUCGGUAUGGCUACAAAGUCGUGGAGAAGGGGAACCUGCGGUCUGCACUGGCCACGAGCAAUGUCAUCGAACUUCCAAAGAAAGAAGAGCUCAAAACUGUGGUUGACAAGGUGAAGGACUUCUUCGGUGAGGUAACGUCCGGCGCCAAGGAAUCCUUUGCGCAGAUAACAGGAUCCGCCAGCGAUGAGGCAGGAGCAGGAGCACAGGAGGAAGAAGAGAAGCCCCGCUUCAAGAGACGAAACAAGAAGAAGGGGAAGCAGCAGAAGUCGAAGCAGGGGUUUAAGCCCGAGAGCUGAUUGUGUCAACUGGGGGAUGUUGAAGUGUGGUACCACCGGCUGUAAUUUCUCAGAGCUGCUCUGUAGUUUCCCUGAAGCUUUUUGAGUUUUGCAACAUAGAAUGUGUAAACUCGAUAACACACAACGGCGAAGAUCACAGCUGUAUAUUGAUUUUCAAUGCUUUGCAAGAGUUUCAAUGGUUGUAAUUCCCCUCCAAAAUGUAAGUAUUUAGUGUCUAUUUCCUCAUGGUGUUCCCUGGCCAAGAUAUUAAAAAAGAAUAGUCUUUUUGGUAGUUUGGAACCAAAGCAUUAACUGGUAGUGUGGCCAAAGCGUCUUCCAAGACUUGGACUCGAGGAAGGUAAGAUCGCUAGAUCCAGCAUCAAGCAUACGAUUUCAGGCACCGGCUAAUAGAUACCCAUUCUGGAUGUACAUCUGAAAUAAGUAGUUACUGCUUCCGUUUCAUAA